rnacentral:rRNA from 1 species
ACGUAGGGGGCGAGCGUUGUCCGGAAUCACUGGGCGUAAAGCGCACGUAGGCGGGCUGUCAAGUCGGCCGUGAAAGGCACGGGCUCAACCUGUGCAUGUCGGUCGAUACUGGCGGUCCGGAGUAUGGGAGAGGGAAUUGGAAUUCCCGGUGUAGGGUUAAAUGGGUAGGAUUUCGGGGGAACACCAGUGGCGAAGGCGGGUUCCUGGCCCAUGACUGACGCUGAGGUGCGAAAGCCGGGGGAGCGAACGG